rnacentral:rRNA from 1 species
GUGACCUCAAAUCAGGUAGGAUUACCCGCUGAACUUAAGCAUAUCAAUAAGCGGAGGAAAAGAAACUAACAAGGAUUCCCCUAGUAACUGCGAGUGAAGCGGGAAAAGCUCAAAUUUAAAAUCUGGCAGUCUUUGGCUGUCCGAGUUGUAAUCUAGAGAAGUGCUAUCCGCGCUGGACCGUGUACAAGUCUCCUGGAAUGGAGCGUCAUAGAGG